rnacentral:misc_RNA from 1 species
AGAGGCAUCCAAAAUGCCGUCGACUGCUGAUCAGAAGGCUGCGCUGCCUACACAAACGGAGAAGCCAAACCAUUACAACUACUUGAAGGAGUUCCGUGUCGAGCAGUGCCCGCUGUUCGUACAGCACAAGUGCACACAGCACAAGCCGUUCACAUGCUUUCACUGGCACUUCAAGAACCAACGGCGCAGAAGACCGAUACGGCUCGCGCGGGACGGCACCUUCAACUACAGCCCCGAUGUGUACUGCACAAACUACGACGAGACGACGGGGAUAUGCCCCGACGGCGACGGGUGCCGGUUUCUGCACCGCACGGCGGGGGACACGGAGCGUCGCUACCACUUACGCUACUACAAGACGGGCAUCUGCGUGUACGACACGGACGCACGGGGCAACUGCGUCAAGAACGGCCCACACUGCGCCUUUGCACAUGGCCUGCACGACCUGCGCUCGCCGGUCUACGACGCCAAGGAGCAGCAGGCGUGCUUGGCCGGCGAUGGUAGCUCGGCCAAUGGCCCCGAUGAUGCCACCAAUGGCGGACCCAACAGCUUGGACAAGGAGCGGAACGCGCUCAAUGAGGACCCUCAUUGGCAGGAUACGAAAUAUGUUUUGACUAACUACAAGACAGAGCCAUGCAAGCGGCCACCUCGACUCUGCCGUCAAGGUUACGCGUGCCCCCAGUACCACAACAGCCGAGAUAAACGAAGAAGCCCAAAGAAAUACAAAUACAGGUCUACGCCGUGCCCCAACGUCAAGCAGGGGGACGAGUGGGGGGACCCGGCCAACUGUGAGAACGGCGACAGCUGCUCCUACUGCCACACGCGCACCGAGCAGCAGUUCCACCCAGAGAUCUACAAGUCCACCAAGUGCAACGACAUGCAGCAGGCCAACUACUGCCCCCGGGGGCCGUUCUGCGCGUUCGCGCACGUCGAGAAGGAGAUUUCGGCCGUGCGGGACCUCGGGCCAGACUACUCCACCAACCUGGCGGCCAUCCUGUCCAGCGCCCUGCCCUCCUCUUCGUCCUCGGCGAAUCACCAGGGAAGCUCCGGUUCCCCAGCCUGCAACAAUGACAACCCCUUCUCGCACGUGGGCUCUCAUGACCACAUGGCUGAGCAGCAGCAACAACACGCGGCAUCUUUAGGGGAAAAGGCUUGGUAUGCCGCGCAAGCGAAUGAUUGUAGCAACCCAUUGCCCAACCCGAUUGGCCGGCCGCGCUCGUAUAGUUCUUCCACUAACCACUCGUCCGAGUCGUUACCGCUGCACCAGAAGGCGCCGGGCUCCGAACGAGAGGACCGCGAGGCGAGCAUUCGGAAACAGCUCAAGGCCAUUGACAACGAGCCUAUGGCGGACCCCUUGGAAAAGGCGCGACUCAAACAGGACGUCUGGCUCGUGCACGGACUCACGCCGCCCCCGAUGACGUCGACAGCCUCGUCCUCGUCCUCUUUCUACCACUCGACAAACACUGUAGAAUCCGUUGUCGGUGUAGCACUUGACGACCUUAGUCUGGAAGACAUCAACGUUGAGGCCUCUAUAGACAAGGAUUUAGAAAAUGAUUCCAACCCUGUGAGCACGUCGAUAACGCAAGGACUUACAAGUUCAGGUUUACUAGGAAGUUCAGCGCCUAUGAACAUUCCGGGGGCGAGCGGCAUGCACUGCAAUCGGAGAUUGGGGAACUUGUCUCCCCCCGUGGGAUCCCUUCCCCACAGCCUCGGCCUGCAGUCCAGUCACGACCACACGAUGGACAAGGCGGCUGCUGCGUUCUACAGCCACUCGGGUGGACCAGGCUCCUUUUCAGGACCUAAAUACUCGGGCUUCCCGGGCAUGUACGACUUCAGCCAGGGGGCGCUGUCCUCCCCAUCGUCGUCACACUUGCUCUGGGAUGACCGGAUGGCCCCCAAGGCGCCACCGGGGCUGCACCAGCCCAUGCCGGGGUCGUGGGAGGAAGGCCUGGUGCAGGCGCGAGCCGUGUACGAGGCAUGGAAGCGAGAAGUGGAAGAGGCCAAGCAUAGGGAAAAGAUGGCAGAGUGCCAGCGAGAUGAGGCCCUUGGUCAGAUGGCUCUGCUGCAGAAGGAGCUGGAGGCCCUGGCGUCUGGGCGGGCGACUGGCUUCGGGCCCCUGCGGCUGCAGGAGCUCGAGAAGCUGCCGGCCUCCCAGCUGCGCCUGCUCCAGGAACAGCUGCGCGCCGACUUGGACGCCGUCGACAAGGUUCUGUACCAGCAGCAGUGCAAAAGCAAGUGCCUGGUAUGCCAACAGCAAAACCGCAGUGUGGCGGUGCUUCCCUGCAAUCACCUGGUGCUGUGCGGCACGUGUGCCACCGUUACGACCAAGUGCCCCUACUGCAGCUGUGACAUCGCGCGCAACAGCCUGCCCAUGUCCCUGUAGAAUGCACAGGGUCUCUUCACGAGUAGUCGUUGGGGGAGGUGUGCAAUCCGUUUUGGCUCCUUCCUCUCCUUUUUAUAGAACUUUUUUUUUUUCCUUUCUCUCUUCUCUCCUUGUUCCCCAUCGGGAUGAGGGCUUUUCUGAAGAGUCGCGCCCCCUGGGCAGCCUGCAGGAGUCUGUAGCGGGACUGUCGACCGUGCCAAGCAGUUCGACAGUACAUUUCUGGAGAUGAUGGAAGAACUCGACAUUCGAUGCACACUUCUGGCUGAGGUUUUGAUACGCCCGCCCCUCGACUGCGACGAUGUAUGUGAACGGGCAUUGUUUCGCAUUGGGCGCAAACUGUAACUUCUCCCCGACCUUGUUUAUUUCUACGUCCGCUGAGCUGUCGGUGGCGGUACCGUGCCUGCAUUUGGUUAACCGACGUCGUUUAGGUUGUGCUGUAGGUGACGUGUUGACGAAUUUGCGUUACAGUUGACUGCCCACAAAGUUGUGCAAACCGUCAUGUACAGGACAUUCUUGAGGGACUACUGCCACUGCUGUGCACUUUGGCUCGCUGCCUGCGUCACGUGCUUCUAGAAUCUGAACUGCCAUCGCAGCCGAAGUCUGGUCAUUUGAAGCACAAAGCGAACUUUGUAUGGGAUGGUAACUUAAAAGGGAAAGACUGAAAAGCGUUCAGGGCCGGUGUCUGCGACUGGUGAUGACUAGCAAGGAACGCUCUUUCAAAAGUGGACGGUUACAUUCUAAAGACAUGCCGGUUAGGGCACUGCAAGGAAAAUGCUGUUCAUUUGGCACUCCGUCACUGUCAGUCAAUGCCUACCUGCAUUCGUUGUCUCAGGUAGAUGUCAUCACACUUAACAACAGAAAAAACAUUUGAACAUCCACUGGUUUUAGCCUGAUGGUAAAACUGUUAUUAUUGUUAACCAGUGUUAAAAGCACCAGAAGUUUUUCCCGCUGUUGAGUUGUUUCUGUAGAGUGCUGGUACCGUUGUGGUGAAAUGUUGUGUUACCGCUUAUUUAUUUAUUUUUUAGUUGUACGCUGCUGGCCGCAUUAGGUAAGAAAUUGUGUUAUCAUUAUACAAUGUUAAAAUCAAGCAGCCAUUGGUGAAAUAUUGUGUUACCGCUUAUUUAUUUAUUUUUUAGUUGUACGCUGCUUGCCGCAUUAGGUAAGAAAUUGUGUUAUCGUUAUACAAUGUUAAAAUCAAGCAGCCGUUUACUUAUUGGAAGUAUAGCGUUAUGUCCAUUGUUUUCCUUACAUGCUAAAUCAUGGCAGCAAACUAAAGAUAGUAGUCUGUUGUGCUGCUGGGUACGCUACUCUCAAUUUUCAGUGAAAUGACGGCCUUGACGUUUUCACUCCAGAUCCUAGUGUUAUAUGCAUAUUGUGCAGUUCAAGAGUGGGUUCCUUACAAGUCUCAAGGCAUGUCCCUGUCUCAAUGUGUCUCUAUAGAUUUGGGUUGGAAACAGUAUUGAUACUGUUUGUGCAUUUCGAGUGUUUUUAUGGUGUGGCAACAGUCGAAAAAAUCUGAAUGCCAACUUGUUUGAAAACUUUCCAGGCCAAGUCCACGAGAAGUAGCUGUCCCAGACAUUCAGAUUGAGGAAUAAUGUUCGGCGUACAAAACGUCUGAUGGACCCCGUUCUCCAGGAAGUGCGUGUUACAGGGUUGAAGUGACGUUGGUGCAUUUUAAAUUUUUUGUUAUUAUUUAAGAUUUUCUGCACAAAUGUGUUCAUACUAACUGUGCAAGACUAUGGUACGUCAAGGUAAAAAUCGCUAUAUUAUGUACUGACUGAAACUGUGCCGCUGCUGUGCAGGCAAGGUGUGUGGUAGGAUGAGCAGAGCUCUCAAAUAGCGAAACAGUCUCAGCAGGUCCUCUUCCAAAUUUUUCUUUCUCCUCAUUUCUUGGUAGCGUCUUGCUUCAGUAAUUUGCGUGCUUGACAGUUUACAGUUGUCUAAUAACUCGGGAGUGUAGCAACUUUUUCCGUUCUCCCCGUCCUCUUAGAUUGUAAUGAAAGUGUCAGCGUCUGUCUCGUGCAUGUCAAGGUGUGAUGGAUGUUGAGAUGUGAACGGUAGCGAGGCCGUUGGCCUAGUCGCUGUGGCGAGACCAUUGUGUGAAAGACGGUGGAACUGUGGAUUGCAUUGCUGCGUACGUGCCGCAGCAUGACGAAGUGAACCUUUUGAGUGUUGUGUACGUUAGACGGCAGAUCGACGAGGUGUUCGUUGCAGCGUCGAGAAAUGUCGCCUCUGUAUGUUCGCUGGCAUGAAUAGGGACCCACUGGAUAUCGCAGCGCGGGCGUUAUUUUUUCGUUUGAUAGCUGUGAAUUUUUUCAGCGGGGCUGCAGUAUUUGAAUGGGUGGCGUGUCUUUUCCGCAAGGCAUUUCCUGUUAUUAUAAUUUUUUUUGUACCACUACUUCUGCUCUUGUGAAGGGAUUUCAGUGAGACAAGCAAGGCGAACGGAAACGCUUUGUAGGCACUGCGACUGAAGAGUCUUUUGGUGUGUCGCAAUAUGCGAGAUGCAAAGAGACUGUUAGGAGGUUUUCAAAUGGCUGUCAUCUAGGCCUACAUACGACCUGGUGGGACAGCAGGGGUGUUUGUGUUGUGUGUGUUGAGGUGUGCACUUGUGCAUGGGGCAGAAUGCUUAGUGCAUUUGGUCCAGGUGGUGGUUGUUUUGAGAGGUUGAGGCAGGUACGGGAUGAAACAUACUACGGCUACCAGCUACUUGUACUACUUUUUGGUCAUGGCAUCCUCGGGACGCUGUAGAACUUCGUGUAGACACCGGUUUUUGUUUCCUUCUUCAGUAAUGACGGGACAGCUCGGCCUCUUCCUGCCUAAAUACCAAGACGUGUGCGACGCCGUCUCCCAUCCUUACUCUGUCCUGCUCUCACCCUUUGCUUGGCAGGUGUGUCAUGUACCUCGCCUCGCGCUAUGAGUAGUUCAUUGUAUGCUGCAGUGCGACGUCCCUCCCAUCGGCAACCAGCAUUAGCGAAGGUUUCGUGCCGUCUUUUUGACGUAUUGUCUAUAGCUCUUGUUCUCGCUUCAUAGGAUUAGCGUUGCCUGGUUCCUGAAAACCUCUCGCCCUCUGGCUUUCAUUGAAGCCUGUUCAUCUGUGACGUCAUGCUGACGGGUUGCAUCGUGGCGGCACUUUUGCUCGGUUCUUUCCCCAGAGCGAGGCGGAAGUGAGGCUGUGGGGUGAGGCGCAUUAGCCGGUUCCUUCAAUCUUUCUUCCCUUAUGUUUUUUUAGUCUUGUACACGUUUGCCACCUCCUUCCCUUACGUUUUUUUUUUAGUGGAGGUUGAAUAGCGAAAAAAUUCUUCCCGUUGUUGUGCUUGAGUGGGUAGAGGGUUUUUCUUCUUUGCAGCCGGGGGACUUAGCGCUGUAACCAGAUAUUCAUAGUUUAUAUAGUAGUAUGACGUAUUUAUGUAUAUCUAUUGUAUGUACUAUCCACAGAAAGGAGAGCGGGCUGCCUUGGUGGGUGGGUUAAUAGGUCGUUGUAGUUUUCUGUCGUGUUUUUUCUUCUUUCAAGGCCCUCUCUCUCUCUCUCUAUAUAUAUAUAUAUAUAAUAUCUCUGGUCUCCCGUAAACUGCGUCGGAGGCUUGCUGUUGUGGUCACUCUGUGGCUGCAGGAACAACUUUGUAAUGCCUGGCGGGAAAAAAAAAUAAAUUUAUAGGAAUUUUCACAAGAGCUGAGAAAAAGGAAAAAAAAAAAAACAGGUAAGCUUAGGUGUAAAUUUUAAACUAACAAAUUGAAUGCACAAAUAGGUCAUUUUCUCUAUAUAUUUUUUUUCCUUUCAUAAUCAACAGUGUGCGUCUUAUUCAUGAAAGAGUCCAAAAGGCUAUUUUCACAUGCUACAUGCUUGCACGUGUGUGUGCAUACUCCGUUUAUUGCCGAUGGUCUCUUCCCUCUUUAUUGGGGAGAAUGGAGAACAUUCGGUCGCGGAGGUCGACUGCUCGCGGUGGCGCGGAGUCGCACUUUCUAAACUUUUUUUUUUUUGUCGUAGUCAUAUAGAGUUCGUCUUUGUCUUUUGUUCUCCAAGCUAUUUUUCUAUUCCAGUUUUGCCCCUUGUGACUCCUGAAGAACUUUCGAAGGCUUCGACUUCGUACUACCAAACGCACAACUAACUACAAGAGGUUUCGCACUGCGUGUUCUCUUGCAUGGCUUUCUCGAAUUCUCUCUUGUCUGAAUUUGUCCGGUUUUGUUCAGCAUUGCCUGCCCUCUAUGGAUGUGGUAAUGGCUCCGAGGCAAAAGUGAUUGACGCUUCACUUUGUUCUUCUGCUGUACAAGGAGUGACUGGCUGGCUCCCAAUUUCGGGGGGACGGCAAGGAAAGCAAGAAAGAUCAAAGUUGAGGGUGUCGUGUGCAUCGACUAUACGAGGUGGUUCGAGAGAUUUGCAUACCGAAAGGAGCUGCCCCCGGAGUGUGUAGGUGGUGCCUUCGGUCUGAACGGAAGCAAAGGGGGGACAAGUUCAUUCUUCCUGUUUUGCUCUUUCUUCAUUGUCAUUAUUAUUGUUAUUGCUGUAAAUAGGAGAGCAAGCGUGACGUUUCCUCUUGUGACAAUGACGCAACACUGCUACAUCCUUUCGUACAACAAACGCACUAAAUUAACCUGUUGUUGCUAACAUCAAGGCUUGAACGAAUGCGCGACAACACGCGAUGUUUGCGCGCAUGUUCUCUGAAAAAAGCAACAACACUCGCACUGGCAUUACGCACAAGCUAGGUCAUUAUUGUAAUCUUGUAGGAACAAACGUAUAAAAGGGGAAAAAAGUUUUUUUUUCAAUUUUUUAAGAAAGGGGGCAGGCCUGUUGUGCAUCGUAAAAUGGGUGGGCGCGUUGCUUACAGCCAGUGCAGAUCUAGCAUUGGCUGUGUUAGUCUGGUGUUCGUUGGGGAGAAAAAAGAGGUGGGGAUGAUGUCCCUUCUCAACUAGGUGUCGGUGUUGACCGGUAUUUUUCGCAGCAUGGCCCUGCCGGUCGUGCCGUCAACAUAGUCUCGUGCAGAUUCUGACGUAUUCUUGCGUUGCCGCAUGUGAUUGCUGAAAGUGUAAAUAGAAACAUGGUGCGUUCUUCGCCAACUGUUGCAGAGUUCAGUACGUCUUGGUCUCCUCAUCGUUAACGAUACCAAAUGUUGUGUGAAUGAUGACGCUGGGUAAACGUUAACCUUUCCAGCCAAGUCUCGGGCUUACUUUAAAUUUGGCGUAGAUAUUGCAGAUUGCCACAUCUGUCUUCUCCGACGCCAUGUUUAUUGUUCGUUGCUAGCCCUUUUCUUGCCGCAAGGGUUUAUAGAAAUGGAAUGGUAGCGUUGUCCUGCACUCAUAUUAGUAGAACGAGUUGGAAUCACUGCUGCAUUGUGGGAAAAUCGGCACUUUUUGUCCAAGCCAUAAUCGCAGAAGAGGCAUGCUUCUGAUCCACUUUUGAUAAAACUGGCUUAUUAUGCAUAGAAGCAUGGUAUCUGAUAUGCAAGUACCAUGAAUUUGUGUGUAAGCUAACAGCAGUGAAUAUUGUGUAAGUGAACUUCCAUGCAAAGUUUUGGCGUAAACAGUGCCCCUAGUAAAAUUUUUCUUUAAGCGAGCCAGUUGUCUAAAUUCCCAAGUAAAAAUCUGUAAGCGCGCUUGUGUGCCAGCUAAGAUCUGUGUGAAAUUUGUGUAUAAACCGAAAUUAUUGUGUAAGCAAAACUACAAGCAAACUUUGGUUGCAAGUGAAUCUCCCAUGUGAAAUUUAUGUGCAAUUGGGAGCUGCUGCAGAAAUAGUAUGCAUACGGUCAUUCACGAAAAAUUUGUGUGAAAGCAAACCUCUAUGCAGAACAUGCAUGUAGGCGAAGCUGUCGGGAAAAUUUACGUGGAAACGAUCCUCCGUGUGAAAUUGACAUAAGCAAACCUUCGUGUGAAAUUUAUGUUUUCUGAUAACGCGGGGGGCUCCCCCUGCUCUGCAGGUAGAAUCUCUCAGUGGAAACUCGAGGUUGUUCGUUUCACGCCAGUCAUCGUCUCGACUUUGAGCCAUGUGCCGUCAGAGUUGUUUUUCGGCUGUGCACAAGCAUGUUGAGUAGUUCAACAUUGUAGAACCAACCGCAUCUUCUCCGCGACACCGCUGCCGAGACAGUAUUGAUAGCAUCGCUGGCAGGCCUGUGUCGUGCCAAGCUGAGGUAGACGACAGGCCAUUUUUUUCUUGUGCCGCUGUGUGGGCGGUUUUUUCGCACGCGCCAGUCUGGUUGUGCAACACCGGUUAUCUGCAAAUGCCGCAUUUGUAGUCGUUUUUCUAGGCUUUUUCAUAUUUUUGUCCCCUGUCCCAUUUUUUUUUUCUUUAGACCAUCAUUUUUUUUACAUCACGCUUGAUCACGUUUAGGUGGCGGUUGCUGCGUGUAUGUGUUUUGUUGUGCAUUAUUGCGCCUCUGUUUGUGUAUCAGUGUUUUUCUUUUAUCUCCUUAUCGGAGUUACCUGUGCAAGCUUUCUAAAUGCAUCGAGAGAGGAAACUUGAGAUGGCUCGUUUCACGCCAGUCAUCGUCCGGACUUUGAAAUGUGUAAGCGGAACCAUGUGCCGUCAAGAGUCUUAUUUUGUUUUCUGACUCGUAGUUCUUAACUCGGAAUGUGUCCUUUAUGAUGACUGCUUGGCACAAUAUGACAAAAUGCUUUCUUAAAAUGUGUGUUUACUAAAGAAAAGGAUGAAAAUAAGAACUGAUCUUAACCUAAAAACGCUGCUUAUGUCACAUAACAGCUUUGUUUGUGCCGAGCCCAAUUCAAGCUCAUUUUAGCACGAAUCGUUCUACAGGCUGCAAAGCGAACGUUUUCAGGUUUCCUCUUUACUGGUACUACACUUUAUUUCAUUAGUAGUUGACUAGGGUUUUUAAUAUAAAAAUAUGCUGCCAUAUUCAAGCAAAUUAGAAUCGCUCUAAAAUGGGCAAUCAUUGGCAACUUGUAAAUCCUUUGUGUGUGUGCGUAUGUAUAGUGCACGUGUGGUUAAACAAAUAUAUUUUAAUUUAGUUUUUUUCUUUUUGCUCGCAUGGGCGUCCAUCAACUCGCUCAGGAGUUCGCGUCCUGCAGUGAAUGCAGUUCUCCGGGCAUAAGAGAAUAUCAAAGGCCGAGUUGGCAUCGUGAUAAAAUUCGUAUAGGGUGCUACGUGUAAGAUAAUGCCUUUUUAUUUUUUUUCUAGAUCGCUCGCGUUGAGAUCAAUUGGCGCAUAAGUUUUCGGAGCUCGAGAUUGUGGCACUGUUUCUUUUUUAAAAUCUUGUUAAGAUUAUCUGCCAAAGCUAUAAAUAGUUUUAUUGCACCCUAGUGGGUUUUAUUUGGCUGUGGCAGUCGCGAAUGAACCGAGACGUACUUUCAUUUUUCUGUACGUUUUGUUUACUUGUACCUGGACUAUAGAAAGCUUAUAAUGCUUGUUUCGUUGCUUUAAUGAUUAGUAUUUAUAACCUGUUUACGACUAGCUGUUAGCUUUGUUUGUUGCAUGUGGCAAAUCCAUUUGUAAGGGGGCAAUCGUCUACAGACCAUUGAAUGUAGUCUGUCUAAUGGCAGUCUUAAGUACCCCAUUUGGUGGGGCACAUGAAAAGAAAACAAGAAAAAAAGUAACUGGGAGAUGCACAGAUUGUAUGCGUGUGCGUCUGAAAUGUGUACGGAGCUGCGGCCUUGCACGGCAACGUGUCGUUUGUGCAGAUGAAGCUUCACAUGUCGGUGUUCUCUUGUGAAACAUUUUUGGAGGAGCUUUAUUGCAGAGUCUUCAGCCAUAGGUUUUAAGGAAUAAUAAUAAUAAUAAAUACAAAAAACAGCCGUCGAGCAAUUCAACUGUCGCGAGACCUUUUCGUGUGGCUGGGAAAAGGAAGUCGCUGGUUGUGUGGUCUUGUUUUCCAAGCCGGUCAACACACUGUGAUGAUGAUUUGAUUUGAUACGGCCAAUGCGACGUUCCCUGUAAUACAUAAGCUAACCAGUACCGCAACCUCCAGUGUUUUAUGGACGUUUUUACAUGUGUACAUAAGAGUAGGCGUAUUACCCUUGUGCUUAGGCUGUCUUGUGUGGCAAGUCAAAUUUUUCUGGUGCGGGCGCGGAAAGAUGCGUUGCCUCGUCAUAGGUAGAUAUUUUUGCUGGGGCAGUACUAUUUUUCUCAUGAAAUUGGGAUUUCAUAGUGUUUAGAGGGUCUAUGCAAAGGGCUACGACAUGUUUCGGUGGGGGCAGGUCGGUGAGAUGUUGCAAUUGGCUGCAGCUGCUGUUGCUAUGGAGAUGGACGAUUGCACGCAAUCAUUAAUGAGUGAUGUUAGAGGGGAAAACAAAGGCUCGAGGGCUUAGAAUUGCUGGACACAGUGCUACUGCUCGUCGUUGGCAUUCUGUCCUUUAUCACAUUUUCAAGAAAAAAAAAUUUUAUGAGGUGAUGACGAAUGUUUCUACGAAUCUCCCGUACCUUGUUUUUAUGGUGUCCUGGGUUACGAUGAACCUUAGUACAAUUUUUUUUCUUUUAAACGAAGGUGUUCAACCAUGCCACGUAUCCAGUGCUUAAUUAAAGCCCACAGUAUGCUUCAGCUUUGUUGUGUUGCUGACCAAGUCGUGUUUCAAAAUGUCGAUUGUUUGUCUUUGGUGUAUUGUUGUUACUUUUUUCUUGCACAUGUGAUGCCCACUCGUUUUCGUGCUUCUCGAGGCAAACAAUGUUCUUUCUCUUUUGUGGUAACGUUUUCUUUCUGGUGUAACUUUCUCGCAUCUGUGCAACUGUUCUUGAGUCGAGUCAUUUUAUUUUGUGCAUACUCUGACAUCAAAGUUGAACGAAAAAUUAAUACAGAGAAGGAAAAAAAAAAAUGUGCACGACUCUUGUGUUCACCUAAAAAUCAUAGUCUAGAUGUUUUUAUUGUGGCUUUUAUUUCUUCUGUGUUUUGUUUUCUGUUUCAUUUCUCUUGUGAUGAGAAAUUCUUUGUGUAAUUGAAAUAUUUCUUAAAAUUUAGGCAUAAUUAUGUAAAUAAAAUCAACUAUAGGAUUUUA